rnacentral:misc_RNA from 1 species
UACAUAUUUUUUGUAAAUUAAUCUAUCUUUUCUUCUUUCAAUUGUUAGAUCUAAGUAAUUAAUGCUAUUCUGCUUCUUUAUUUUUAUUUCGAAUUAAUGUUUUCUGUUAUCUGGUUAGCCUUUUUAAAAAUUAUAUUUUAACUAAAAAACAUCUUUAUUAUAGAAACGACCGAAAAUACGAAAUAACAAACAAAAAAAAGGUGUUAAUUGUAGUUGUAACCAGAAGAAAACGUAUAUUGGGGAAACAAAAAGAAAACUAAAAGUAAGGUUAAAAGAACAUUCGUGCAAUCAAAGGGUAUUAUGCAAAUUCCGCGAUAGAGGAACAUUGUAAUUUAAAGGGAUGUGAAGUGGAUUAGAACGUAGUAAAAAUAAAGAAAAAAAGAGAAAAACAAUUAUAAAAGACAAUUGUACGAACACAUCUACAUAGUUAAACAAAAAUAUAGAUCAUGGAACAGCAUCAUCUAAUAGAGAGCGAGAGAGAAAAUGAAUAAAAGGAGAAAUCAAGUAGGGUUAAAUCCAAUGUUCAUUAUUUUUAAUUAAUUAAUAUUGAUUAAAAAGCGGGAAUAUGUUUGAAUUGCAGUAAAUAUUGUCGUUUUCGAGGAGAUCCUUAAAAACACAGGGAUUGCAAGUUUUAGAUUAUUUUAUUGUCAGGAAUUUUCAUGCUUUUUCUAAAUAAAUAAUUUUGUAACAACUUUAAAUUGAAAUGUUUAGAGAUUGUCGAUGGUAAACCAGCUGAUGAGGGACCAAUAGCAUCUAAACACUAAGAUAUCAUUUAUGUAUUCAGGUGAUAAAUAAAGACAGUUUUUCUGACUUUGUUUACUUAAUUUGCAGAACCAGUUAUCCAGUAUAAUAAGUCGUAUUAAUAGAUAUGUCCUAGAUGGCGUUUUAAGUUUAAAUUAAUUUCAGUACUCCUUAGUCACAUUGGUUAUUCGUCAAUAAACCUUUUUAUCAGUGAUUACCAAAAUAAGUUAAUAUAUUUGGCAAAUUAUUGCUAAUUUUAGCUUCACACUAACAGUUAGUUUCGUCUUCGAUAAUCAAUAGAAUCAAUACAAUUUAUUAAUCUAACAUAAUGAUCUACCAUUUUGAUUAAAGAUGAGAAUCUCUUUGCUGAUUAUAUUACAAGGAAAACACAGAAGGAAGAUUUCUUACGAAGCACAAGUCGAGAUUUCUCAGACAUUUCUUAUGUGGAAAGGAAUUUAAUGUGUGCAAAUUCAUAUACUUUAAUUAAUAAGGAAUAUUAACACGAAUCUCUUUCUUUUUCAGGUUUUCGAUGAAGGUUUACUUUUCUGGGGCAAAAUGUCUAAGAAUUUCCAGCAUUAUUAGUUUUAGUUUUAACAUUUUCAAUUUGAUUUAUAUAAUAAUGUUUAACCUCAUUCUCGUAUCUUGUUUUACAGAGCUUUUUGUUAUUUACAGAUCCAUUAUUCAACAAUUCAGAGAAUUUCUAGUAAGAGCUGAAGAAUGUGUUAAACUUUUGUUUACGGAAGACCAAAACUGAAACCAGUGAUAAGAAAUAAUACAAAAAUGCAUCAAAGGAGAAAGUAUAUUUCAUGCAAAGGACGAAAAGCAGAAAAUUAAAUGAAGAUGAUUAUCUAUAUAUUUUUGUUGCAAACAGCAUAUAAAUUGUGUAUAAAAAAUGUUUAAAUAAUCAGAAGUCAACGAAUCGGAAGUAUCGAUGUGACAGUUGCAAGAAAGAAUUCGCUUCGAAGUCCAAUUUAAAACGUCAUCAAAGGAUUCACACUGGAG